UACGUAGGGUGCAAGCGUUGUCCGGAAUUAUUGGGCGUAAAGAGCUCGUAGGCGGUCUGUCGCGUCGGAUGUGAAAACCCAGGGCUCAACCCUGGGCCUGCAUUCGAUACGGGCAGACUAGAGUUCGGUAGGGGAGACUGGAAUUCCUGGUGUAGCGGUGAAAUGCGCAGAUAUCAGGAGGAACACCGGUGGCGAAGGCGGGACUCUGGGCCGAUACUGACGCUGAGGAGCGAAAGCGUGGGGAGCAAACAGG
rnacentral:rRNA from 1 species